rnacentral:lncRNA from 10 species
CUCAGACAUAUAAAUGAAAUCAUUCAAAGGUAACGGCACUCAGAAUGAAGUCCAAACACCUCACCACAGGUACUACGCUCUUGGCAAAUGCCACUCCUAGAUUCUUCACACAGUUCUUUGUCUCAUGGGCUUCUCCAACGUGGCUGUUUAUUUUAGCAAGCCAGAAAGGUUAUCUUUACAUCCCCUUUGGUUACACAUAUAGUUGGCAUUUUCUAAAGAUACUAAAAAAUCUUAUCACGUGCCCAGCCUCUCUCACAGUCAGAAAUAACCAUGUGACACAGUUCUAGCCAACGAUAACAUGGAUCAGCUACAUGAAAGAGGGAUGAUGGUAUUGGAAGCUUUUGUUUUACUUUUAAUAGGGAAUAAAAAUUACAAGUUUCAUUUUGAUAUGAACAGGAGAUGGAAAUACUGGGUAGAAGAGCGUGGUUCCCUGGCAAAGGCUACCCCCUCAAGCCUGGAAACCCACAACCUUAAAUGAGAAGAGGCAUUCCUGUUUUUGCACUUGAAAGUUGCCUUUUGGCCUCCCAUCCCCUCCCAUCCUGUACCCAUAUAAAUCCCAAACCCCCAGCUCCAAAAGGAGAUGAAUAGAAGAGCAGAAGAAUGCAGAGUGGCAAGGCAAAGAAGAGGAGAAGAGAAGGAGCAUCUGAAAGUUGAGAGGAGUUGGGCUGGGGACGGUCUGAGAGGAGAUUGGCCGCUGGAUGGCCAAAUUCCAGGAGAAAAAUAAUCUCACUCCAUCCCCCUUCCAGCUGCCCAUCCACCUUGCUGAGAGCCACUUCCAUCACUCAAUAAAACCCCCACAUUCAUCCUUUAAGUCUGUGCGACUUGACUUUUCCUGGAUACCAGAAAAGUACCUGGGUCCCAAGAGGGCACUGAGCUGGUUACACUCUUCAGCUGUCUUCAGAUGGCAAAUCUAAAAGAGCACACUGUAACACACACCCACUUGGGCUUCAGGAGUCACAGGCACCCAGCCUUAGAUCCUACCUUGGGGCUGGAGCCCCAAGGCACUCGCCUGGGUUGCUGCACCUGCCUGUCAGCAUGCUCCCUGUCCUGCAAGGGGCCUGAGAAUGUGUGGUGGCCAAACAGAUGAGCAACACCCCUGUCGCACGUCCUGCAAAGUGAUCAAGGAACUCUCCUCUCUCAAUUUCUUUCUCUCUUCUUUUUGUUUUUAUAAUAGAUGUGGGUUGUAGAGCUGUAGCAAUCAUCUUAAGACCAAAAAGUGAUAACCACAGUAUUAUGGACUGAAUUGUCCCCCUGCAUUCAUAUGUUAAAAUCCUAAACCCUAGAAAUGUGACUGUAUUUGAAGACAGAAUUUUUUGACAGGCAAUUAAGUUAAAAUGACAUUAUGAGCCCUAAUCCAAUACGACUGGUACUCUUAUAAGAGGAGAUUUAGACACACACACAGAUGUGCAGAGGCAAGAUCAUAUGAAGAUACAGGGAGAAGAUGGUCAUCUACAAGCCAAAUAGAGAGGCCUCAGAAAAAAAUCAAACCUGCCAGCACCUUUAUGUUGACUUCUGGCCUCCAGAACUGUGAGGAAAUACAUUUCAGUUGUUUAAGUCACCCAGUCUCUGAUACUUGGUUAUAGCAGCCAUAGCAAACUAAUAAACAAGCGAAUCCAAGUCAAGAUACUAAGAAUGACACAACAGGGAAAUAUGACGAACCUGGAAAUGCAAACCAACACCAUUAAAUGCUUAUCUCCAGACUUAUCACGUGAGAUAAAUAACUCCUACUUGUUUAUGCCAUUUAAAAUCGGAGUGUUAAUUUCUGCUGCUGCCUGAAACAUUCUUACUUUUCCUUUGAUUCCUAAGUGAAUUUGACCUGAUUCAAAACAUGGGCACGUGGGCCAGGCACAGUGGCUCCCACCUGCAAUCCCAGCACUUUGAGAAGCCAAGGUGGGAGGAUUGCACGAGAUCCAAAGCUCAAGAUCAGCCUGAACAACAUAGCGAGACCCUGUCUCUACAAAAAUAAAUAAGCAAAUUAAGAACAUAGGCAAGAGAACUAAGUAUCACCAAAUUCCAGAUCAAUAUGCUACCUGCCUGUCUGCAUGAGGUAAAUCAGCCAGAUUUGGAAAAAAAAAAAAAUUCUAUUGGCAGCUGGAAAAGCAACCUAAAUAUAAUGAUUAAUUUAAAAUAAAAUUCAGUAGAUUUUUUUGUAGUAGGUCUGACAUUCUUUCUAGGAAUAUGAUUAAGUAAGAUCUUACCUGUAGAUAUUCUAAUAUUUCAACAUUUCUUGUGACAUUUAAUAAAGAAUGUACUUCUGUCAUAAGAAAGUGAGCAAAAACUUUCAUAAACAGAUAUGAAAAUAUAAGUGACAGAGAAAUAAGAAAAUAAUUG